AGUGAACGCUGGCGGUAGGCCUAACACAUGCAAGUCGAACGGCCGCACAUUAAGAGCUUUCUUUUACCGUUGGCUAGUGGCUGACGGGUGAGGAAUACAUCGUAGUCUACUUUUUCGUUGGGGAUAACUUAGUGAAACUUACGCUAAUACCUCAUACGACCUACUGGUUAAUGCAUGGUAUCUUCUUACCUUGCGCGAUUGAAUGACCCGAUGUCGGAUUGGCUAGUUGGGGGGGUAAAGGCCCACCAAGGCAACGAUCCGUAGCUGGUCUGUGAGGGUGAUGAGCAACACUGGAACUGAGACACGGUCAAGACUCCUACGGGAGGCAGAAGUGGGGAAUAUUGGACAAUGGGGGAAAGCCGGAUCAAGAAAGACCGCGUGGGUGAAGAAGGCCUUCGGGUUGUAAAGCCCUUUUGUUGGGAAAGAAAAGCAGCAGGUUAAUACCCCGAUGUUCUGACGGUACCCAAAGAAUAAGCAACGGCUAACUUCGUG
rnacentral:rRNA from 1 species